rnacentral:rRNA from 1 species
AUAUUUCGUAGGUGAACCUGCGGAAGGAUCAUUA